GAUGAACGCUGGCGGCGUGCCUAAUACAUACAAGUCGAGCGAACAGACGAGGAGCUUGCUCCUCUGACGUUAGCGGCGGACGGGUGAGUAACACGUGGAUAACCUACCUAUAAGACUGGGAUAACUUCAGGAAACCGGAGCUAAUACCGGAUAAUAUAUUGAACCGCAUGGUUCAAUAGUGAAAGACGGUUUUGCUGUCACUUAUAGAUGGAUCCGCGCCGCAUUAGCUAGUUGGUAAGGUAACGGCUUACCAAGGCAACGAUGCGUAGCCGACCUGAGAGGGUGAUCGGCCACACUGGAACUGAGACACGGUCCAGACUCCUACGGGAGGCAGCAGUAGGGAAUCUUCCGCAAUGGGCGAAAGCCUGACGGAGCAACGCCGCGUGAGUGAUGAAGGUCUUCGGAUCGUAAAACUCUGUUAUUAGGGAAGAACAAAUGUGUAAGUAACUAUGCACGUCUUGACGGUACCUAAUCAGAAAGCCACGGCUAACUACGUG
rnacentral:rRNA from 1 species